AACUUGCCCCCUAAGAGUGCACGUCGGGGGCACGUCUGUGCCUUUGCCCAGUGUGUCCCCCUCUGCCGGGACGCCCUGCCUUCUCUCUGCCACCUGAGUUUUGCUGGCGUUCAAGGCCAGAAGGACAUUUCAUCUCCUCCGAAAAGCCUUCCACGGCUCGUCUAGUCCUCGUCAGCCACCGUCUUCGUGACACCUUGACUGCUUUUGCAUCACCGAACCUACCCCCUUGAUCGUGUGGUCUUUUUGAUGAGAAUCGUCUCCGUGCCUCCAGUCCUCAAAGGGAAAGGGGGUUCCGCCAGACACGGGUGGAGUAAGAAAGAAGCUUGCUAGCUGCUUCAGGUCAGACGGGUCUUCGAAGUCUUUGGAGCAGUCCCACACACAGCGCCCCCGUCCCCACCCAAGACGGACAAGUUCAGCAGACACAGAUCCUAGAGGCGCUGGCCUCCAAGCAUCGCUCAGGGGAAUUGCCAGCCAUGGUUUGGAAACAGAGCUGCCCUGAUGACUUUCCAUACACCGUGGACUCUCACACGAGCCUGUUUAUCGUCACACACAUGAAAGCAACAUGAAAAUGCUGAGGUUGGGACCCACGGCGGGAAGCCUUACAAUCAAGAAGGAGAGAAAACUACACACUUAACUACCAAUGAAACGCCAAGCAGAAACGAAGAUGUCCUCACCAGACGAUGGUCUUCAAGACCAGAAGCUCAGCUCCACAGCCCAGAACUUAGACACAACUCCUAAGGAAAUUAGGAAAACCUCAAAUUAACUAGAAUUCCUCUUCUGCUGUGCCAGUAGCAUGGAAACUCAAGAAAGAAAUUAAAUUUAAAAAAUCACAUUUCUUGCACCCUGAAAUCAAUACCUACAAUAUUGCCCAACUGGGGAAGCAGGACAUUUCCAUAAAAAGAGAGGCACUGUCAUUGGCUAGUAGAUACGGGGAGUAAAUAAGCUAUAUAGCAGACACUUUCUACAGAAAUUCAAGGCCUCUGCAGCCCACAGAGGUGGAGAGAACAUCAUGGAUGGCGGCGGCCUUCUUGCAAUAUUAACCGACCAGAGUGGUCAAGGUGAUGCAUAGUGCCCAACAAACCAGGUGCUAUAAUAAGGAAACCCCAAAUGAAUUUUUUUUAAUGUUUACUCAUUUUUGAGAGACAGAGACAGAGCACAAGCGAGGGUGGGGCAGAGAGAGACACACACAGAGAAUCCAAAGCAGGCUCCAGGCUCUAAGCUGUCAGCACGGAGCCCGACAAGGGGCUCAAAUUCAUGAACAGUGAGAUCAUGAUCUGAGCUGAAGUCAGACACCUAACUGACGCAGCCACCCAGGCGCCCCAGGAAACUAAUGAUAAUAGGAGUUUACUCCCUGCAUGUAUAAUAGAUUAACAGGGGUAAUCCUGGUUGGUAGGUGAUUUCUUCCACAUGGUCAUUCAAGGCCCCCGGAUGUUAGGUCUCCCCAGCACAAGGAGGGAUCUUGUCACAACACGGAGAAUUACUAAUGGAAGAAACCAUCCUAGUUCCCAAUUGCCUAGUGCUUCUUGAGUGCCGGGCACUGCCCAUUCAACCCUCACAAUAGUCCUU
rnacentral:lncRNA from 1 species